GAGGGUAUAGCCCAGUGAUAGAGCAUGUGUUUAGCAUAUACGAGGUUCUGGGUUUAAUCCCCAGUACCUCCA
rnacentral:tRNA from 1 species